rnacentral:rRNA from 1 species
CCUACGGGAGGCAGCAGUGGGGAAUAUUGCGCAAUGGGCGAAAGCCUGACGCAGCGACGCCGCGUGAGGGAUGAAGGUCUUCUGAUCGUAAACCUCUGUCAGUAGGGAAGAACGGUCACUGUGCUAAUCAGCAGUGAAUUUACGGUACCUGCAAAGGUAGCACCGGCUAACUCCGUGCCAGCAGCCGCGGUAAGACGGAGGGUGCGAGCGCUAAUCGGAAUUCUGGGGAGUAUAGCGAUCGUAGGCGGUAGGUCAAGUCAAGGGUGAAAUCCCCGCGCUCAACGUGGGAACUGCCUUUGGGACUGGCAAACUUGAUAGUAGUAGAGGAUAGUGGAAUGCAUGGUGUAGGAGUGAAAUCCGUAGAGAUC